GAUGAACGCUGGCGGCGUGCCUAACACAUGCAAGUCGAGCGAACAGACGAGGAGCUCGCUCCUCUGACGUUAGCGGCGGACGGGUGGGUAAUACGUGGAUAACCUACCUAUAAGACUGGGAUAACUUCGGGAAACCGGAUCCAACACCGGAUCAUAUAUUGAACCGCAUGGUUCAAUAGUGAAAGCCGGCUUUGCUGUCACUUAUAGAUGGAUCCGCGCCGCAUUAGCUAGUUGGUAAGGUAACGGCUUACCAAGGCAACGAUGCGUAGCUGAUCUGAGAGGAUGAUCGGCCACACUGGAACUGAGACACGGUCCAGACUCCUACGGGAGGCAGCAGUGGGGAAUCUUGCGCAAUGGGCGAAAGCCUGACGGAGCAACGCCGCGUGAGUGAUGAAGGUCUUCGGAUCGUAAAGCUCUGUUAUUAGGGAAGAACAGAUGUGUAAGUAACUAUGCACGUCUUGACGGUACCUAAACAGAAAGCCACGGCUAACUACGUG
rnacentral:rRNA from 1 species